rnacentral:rRNA from 1 species
GAUGAACGCUGGCGGCGUGCCUAAUACAUGCAAGUCGAGCGAACGGACGAGAUGCUUGCUUCUCUGAUGUUAGCGGCGGACGGGUGAGUAACACGUGGAUAACCUACCUAUAAGACUGGGAUAACUUCGGGAAACCGGAGCUAAUACCGGAUAAUAUUUUGAACCGCAUGGUUCAAAAGUGAAAGACGGUCUUGCUGUCACUUAUAGAUGGAUCCGCGCUGCAUUAGCUAGUUGGUAAGGUAACGGCUUACCAAGGCAACGAUGCAUAGCCGACCUGAGAGGGUGAUCGGCCACACUGGAACUGAGACACGGUCCAGACUCCUACGGGAGGCAGCAGUAGGGAAUCUUCCGCAAUGGGCGAAAGCCUGACGGAGCAACGCCGCGUGAGUGAUGAAGGUCUUCGGAUCGUAAAACUCUGUUAUUAGGGAAGAACAUAUGUGUAAGUAACUGUGCACAUCUUGACGGUACCUAAUCAGAAAGCCACGGCUAACUACGUG